GAUGAACGCUGGCGGCGUGCCUAAUACAUGCAAGUCGAGCGAACAGACGAGGAUCUUGCUCCUCUGACGUUAGCGGCGGACGGGUGAGUAACACGUGGAUAACCUACCUAUAAGACUGGGAUAACUUCGGGAAACCGGAUCUAAUACCGGAUAAUAUAUUGAACCGCAUGGUUCAUUAGUGAAAGACGGUUUUGCUGUCACUUAUAGAUGUUUCCUCGCCGCAUUAGCUAGUUGGUAAGGUAACGGCUUACCAAGGCAACGAUGCGUAGCCGACCUGAGAGGGUGAUCGGCCACACUGGAACUGAGACACGGUCCAGACUCCUACGGGAGGCAGCAGUAGGGAAUCUUCCGCAAUGGGCGAAAGCCUGACGGAGCAACGCCGCGUGAGUGAUGAAGGUCUUCGGAUCGUAAAACUCUGUUAUUAGGGAAGAACAAAUGUGUAAGUAACUAUGCACGUCUUGACGGUACCUAAUCAGAAAGCAACGGCUAACUACGUG
rnacentral:rRNA from 1 species